rnacentral:rRNA from 1 species
AUUGAACGCUGGCGGCAUGCUUUACACAUGCAAGUCGAACGGUAACAGGCCGCAAGGUGCUGACGAGUGGCGAACGGGCGAGUAAUGCAUCGGAACGUGCCCAGUCGUGGGGGAUAACUACUCGAAAGAGUAGCUAAUACCGCAUACGAUCUAUGGAUGAAAGCGGGGGACCGUAAGGCCUCGCGCGAUUGGAGCGGCCGAUGUCAGAUUAGGUAGUUGGUGGGGUAAAGGCUCACCAAGCCAACGAUCUGUAGCUGGUCUGAGAGGACGACCAGCCACACUGGGACUGAGACACGGCCCAGACUCCUACGGGAGGCAGCAGUGGGGAAUUUUGGACAAUGGGCGCAAGCCUGACCCAGCAAUGCCGCGUGCAGGAAGAAGGCCUUCGGGUUGUAAACUGCUUUUGUACGGAGCGAAACGGCUCUGGUUAAUACCCGGGGCUAAUGACGGUACCGUAAGAAUAAGCACCGGCUAACUACGUG